UUCUCUCUUUCUCCAUUUGCUUUCAGAAUCAAACUCAGCUUUAUCCUCUCCCUCUCAAAGUCACAAACACAAAGAGAAGAAUCUCAACACCUAAGCUUGCAUUCCUCCUUUCCUUCUCUCCCUUGAUCGGCCAAACAUCAAACAUCAAGGAGAUAAAGUACCUUCACUAAUUUCUUGUCACUCCCUACUUCACACGGUGUUGAUGGAGCUCCUUUCCCUUGCAUGUAGCUAAAAACCCGAGUUCUUGCAAGGAAGAUCACUAUACUUGAGUUUGGACCACUCUUUCAUUACAUGCAAGAACAAUGAGAGUGUGAGGGUGCUGCUCAUCCCUUGGUGGCUGUUUUCCCUAACCGAUUUGAGAGCACUUGGGUACAUGCAAUAAGGUCUGCGAACCUCUAGGAAAGUGGACGAAUUUGGUGAUACGUUUGAUUAAAAUUUGUAAGCAUCAAGGAGGACGUAGAAGUAUUUGAUGGAAUAUGUUCUUGGAAAAUUUUUGUUCGCGUUUAAUUGUUGUUUGUAAUCUCUACUAUGAGUCCGCUGUUUCUGGUUGAUUGGGGUGUUGAAUUCUUGAACUUGACGUAAUAUUUUGGAGACCGGCAUAUUUUGUAAUCGUGCUAUGCCAUGUGGAUUAUUAUUGUAGCAUGAAUUUUAUGAUGUGGUAUGGAAC